CUCGUAGGUGGCCAACUAAGUCAUACGUGAAAUCCCUCGGCUUAACCGGGGAACUGCGCCUGAUACUGGUUGGCUUGAGUUUGGGAGAGGGACGCGGAAUUCCAGGUGUAGCGGUGAAAUGCGUAGAUAUCUGGAGGAACACCGGUGGCGAAGGCGGCGUCCUGGACCAAUACUGACACUGAGGAGCGAAAGCCAGGGGAGCAAACG
rnacentral:rRNA from 1 species